GGGUGUGAGGGCGAUCUGGCUGCGACAUCUGUCACCCCAUUGAUCGCCAGGGUUGAUUCGGCUGAUCUGGCUGGCUAGGCGGGUGUCUCCUUUCUCCCUCACCGCUCCAUGUGCGUCCCUCCUGAAGCUGCACACUUGGUUGAAGAGGACGGCCUUCCCCAAAUAGGGAUGGUCCGGUCUUUGGUGGAGGGUAUAGGAGUAGCUGCGCUCCCCUGCUAGAACCUCCAAACAAGUUCUCAAGGAUCAAGAGAUAAUGUCUCAGUGACUUUAUGGAGGUAAAAAGCCCCUCCUUCCCCAUUUAAGAGAGGUU
ensembl:misc_RNA 7SK 7SK RNA